CUGCUUUCUUUAUAAAUUUUAUUUUCUGAGAUUCAAAUACAUAUAUCACUCAAACUCUACAAUACAAAAUGCCCUCUCAUAUAGUUUCUGUUUCAUUCUAUAGAAAAUGAUAUGAUAUAGUCAAACUGAUUAUAAGUUCAUUGUUCUUUCUUGUUUUUUAAUGGCUUAGAUAUGGUUUAUAUCUUUUAGAAUAGAGUUUUUAUGGCACUUCAAGAAGAAGAUCAUGAGCAUUCAAAAAUAUGUUUACUAUCUUAUUAUUCUUACUAGCAUCAGAUACAUAAGUUAUGAUUGGGAUUAUAUGAUCAUGUUUUUAUGCUUUUCUGAACAACAUUCAGUGUUUUAGAAUGUUCAUUAAAAUCAUUCUCGAAGACAAUAUUCCUUUAACAUAUAAUGUUAUGUUGAAAACAUAAACUUAUUCUUUGUCAUAAUUGUAGUGUUAUAAGUGGUUUAGAAUUGUCUGUUUCUCAAUCAAGUAAUUGCUAGCAAACAAAAUAUUGACCUAAGAACACCAAAUGUAGAGGAAUAAAUUAUUAUCACUAGGAUUGUAGUAAAGCUAACUGCCUAUGGAUUAC
rnacentral:lncRNA from 1 species